rnacentral:lncRNA from 1 species
UCGAAAAUGUUAAUAAUCAUAUUUAUUAACCAACUAAGUACAUUAAUGUAAAAAAUGACUGUUUAUUAUAAACCCUAACUGGCCUUGAUACAGACAAACUGGGCAUUAAUACAGGGACAUUACAGAAAAACAGGGCCAUUACAGAAAAACAGGGCCAUAACAGAAAAAACAGGGCCAUUACAGAAAAAAAGUGUUUAUAUCAAAUAUAUCAAAAUAUCAAAAAGCUUUAUGAUGGUGAAGUACAAAUCAUUUUUUUUCAAACUAAACUGUCAUUUAAAGAGUAGAGAGUACAUCAAGUUAGCAGCAACACAUGUACCUUUGUUCAGUUGGUUAAUAAAUGUAUUAAGAAAUGGGUGUUUUUAUAAUGGCUCUGUUAUAUGUCCUCAAUCAGUAAUAAUGGCCUCGGAUGUCUGUAAUAGCACUCGGCGUUACCUCAGGCCAUUACAGACUUCCUCGACCAUUAUAAGACUAUAAAAAAUAUUGUAAAAAUAUAAACUUCGUUAUUUUACAAAAAUAACGUGUACAACUCAAUUCAUGCAACAUCAAUUUGUAUUCCAUGUACACUGUAAUGUUGCCCUUGUUUCUGAUCCUAAUUAUGCUCAUCGAUGAAAGGUAAAGCUGCCACAUCGUCACACAUCAAGCUA